rnacentral:tRNA from 1 species
GCCGAAGUGGUGGAACUGGUAGACACGCCAUCUUGAGGGGGUGGUGAGCAAAACUCGUGGGGGUUCGAGUCCCCCCUUCGGCACCA